UACAGAGGGGGCAAGCGUUGUUCGGAAUUACUGGGCGUAAAGGGCGCGUAGGCGGCCUUCUAAGUCGAACGUGAAAUCCCCGGGCUCAACCCGGGAACUGCGUCCGAUACUGGAAGGCUUGAAUCCGGGAGAGGGAUGCGGAAUUCCAGGUGUAGCGGUGAAAUGCGUAGAUAUCUGGAGGAACACCGGUGGCGAAGGCGGCAUCCUGGACCGGUAUUGACGCUGAGACGCGAAAGCGUGGGGAGCAAACAGG
rnacentral:rRNA from 1 species